rnacentral:lncRNA from 1 species
GUGGCGGAACGGAAUCAUCAGCCUGCCAAUCGUGUUACGUAGCCGCAGAUACAUGAUAGAGGAACAGCUGAUCCGUUAGUCGGAAAGUCAAAACGCGAACGUUGAAGUCACGCAAAGGUGUAGAGUAACGAAGAAACCACGACAGGUACAAUAGUGGGUUUCCAACGGAAUGGUACCGAACUUGACUCGCUUUUACGUAUUC